ACAGUAUCUGCAUAAAUGUUAUGUACGUUAAACAUACGUAUAUUUAUGCUGAUUCUUUAUUAUUAAAUAUCUUUAAAUAUAACACACAGCGAUAAUAUUCGGUAGAAACAGUUCAACGCAAAAUGCGAAAACGAAAUUAAUAGCCCUUCUGGGCUAACGCGCUUUGGGAUAAAAACGCAAAAAUAGAACAUAACAGCUUUCAUUGUCAGUGCUUUAAAAAAAAAAAAAAAAAAAAAAAAAAAAUCGAUAGGCCUUAUUUAAUUUAAUAAAAUCGAAAAGUUGAGCAAGUUGCAUAUUUUUGAGAGGAUAAAUAUGCCACGAAACCUUCAAAAUCAUUUUUUAGUUCAUCACGCACGCAUAUCUGCACACAAAAAUAACAAUACCUAUUAUUCUUCUGCAUCUCUGUUUAAAAAUGUUUUAAAAAAACAUAUGUACCGAAAAACAUUUAUUUGUAAAGUAAAAUAUUUUUUUUUCGAAAAUAUUUUAAAUAAAUUUAAAAAAGAAGAUUUUUCGCGAUCAUAUUUUGCCGCGGUUAAGCCCGUGCAGCUGUCUGUCUGUCUGUCAGGUACUGAAAAAAAUCAGUACCUCGGUACUUACGUGAAAACGUGGUUUGGACUUUGCCAAAGCUAAGUUUACUUUUAAUCUAUUUUCAUCCAUUACAUUUUUUAAUAUUAUUUUUCACUUGAAAUUUGUUUUAAUACUUUGUUUUCAUAGAUACAUAUCAUUACUAUUAUUUUUAUUUUCCUUUUUUUUUUUUUUUUUUUUUUUUUGUAACAGUACUUUCUAGUUUGAACUUUUCACUUCUCUAUCUUCCUAUAAUGAACUAAUAUUGUUUAAUUAAACUUAUAAUUACUUUUCAUCUUUAUUAAACUUUUUUAUUUCUGAUAGUUUUGACUUUUGCAUAAUUGCCAAGUUUCUGAAAUUUCUAACAAUAAAUUUCAUUAAACUAUUUCUGUCACUGUACUGACUUUUUUGAAUAUGGCUUCUUUGCAUGAAAAACUGAAAUAUUUCUGUUUAAUUACUGACAUGCAUUUAAUUAAUACAGAGGCAGCUGCACUCGAGUUUGCCACCGAUGCUGGACUUCUUCCCAGAGAGGAUGAGGCACCACCACCUUGCCCCAAGUGCCAGGCACCGAUGAGAAGCAACAAGAGAAAGGAAUCAAAGCUGGGAUGGCGUUGGGUCUGCAGCCUGAGAAAUCGCAACAACUGCUCUGGCAUGAUUAACCCCAUUGAAAACACUUUUUUCGAAGGUACAAAAAUCCCAAUAAGGGAAGCUUUAGUCAUAACUGUGUACUUUGUUCUAGAUCACAGUUUCAGCUACAUAAAUCAGCAGCUAAAGCUAUGGAGGGAAAAGCAAAAAUUACCAGUAAUUGCAAAUGAGACUAUUGUUGACUUUUUAUCAUAUUGUCGUGAGGUAUGCGAAAUUUUUGCCUCUCAUCAUAGCAGAAUGUUAGGUGGUAAAGGAAAAUCUAUAUUAAUUGAUGAAACAUUUUUGACCCGCCGCAAGUACAACCGCGGCAGGGUAACCAAAAAUAUGACCAUCGUAGUUUUAGGCAUCUACUGUCGAGAAGACAAAGAAGGAUUAUUUUUCAAGGUUAAAGGAAAAAGCAAAAGGCAUUUGUGGCCUUACAUUAAACGUCAUGUUCACCCAGAAACCACCUUCAUAUACACUGACUCUGCUCCACAAUAUAAAAGGAUAGAAAAUUUAUUUCCGGCAGCAACACAUAAAACUACCAAUCACAAGAAAGGCGUAUUCGUAGAUCCCGAUGAUAAACAGAACACUAUAAAUGAUCUUGAGGGUGAAAACAAACUUUUUAAGAGGUCUAUAAAGAGCAAGAGAACAGAUGAUAUUUGCACGCAGUACAUGGCUGUACAUUAUUACAGGCGGUUCCGCUUGAAGCCCUUUACUUAUGAUGGAGAAAGACUUGCUCAGUUUCUACAGGACAUUAAAGCUGUGUAUCCAGGCCAUGGAAAAGUCGGCCUUGAACUUAAAAUGUUGGACGAACCAACAUCAGAAAGCGAAGGAAUUGAGGACCUGAUGCCUCCAAAGAAAUCAGCCCGACAAGAUGAUGAUAUACCAUUCAUUCAGGAAGAUGAUGAUAAAUGGGAAUUCAACCAAAAAACAGAGCCCAGAAAACAAAAGGAUGGAAAUGUUGCGAAAAUGUUGCAUAUCUUUUACAGAAAGAGCUGCAGAUCCAAAAUGUCAUGAAAUACUAUGACAGAGGUAAUCCAAAAAAAUAAAUAAAAGAAAGAAGAAAACUAAUUUUGACAGAUAAAUUGACAAACAUAGAGGUAAAGAAUAUUGCAGAAAUGAGAAAUGAAUCAUGGAAAGAAAUGAAUCUUCAGUCAGAAAAUAUACAGGGACUUCAAAAAUAACAUUUUGCUGCCACUUAGACGAGGGAAGAAGCAGAUGGAGAAAUCAACUCGGAUGACAAACCCAGUACCUGGGGGUAUAGCCAGGUUUUUCUUUCAAGAAACACAUCCGAGUUGAAACGACUGAUGCGGGCCACACCUGAAAGCGAAGGAACUGAGCAACUGCUGCCACCGCAGGAAAUCUCGACGAUCAUGAAAUUUAAAAUCUUGUUUACUUAUCUUGUAUUUUGAAUAUGCAUAAUAUGGAUAUUUUGUUUAGGGACUUCAAAAAUAACAUUUUGCUGCCACUUAGACGAGGGAAGAAGCAGAUGGAGAAAUCAACUCGGAUGACAAACCCAGUACCUGGGGGUAUAGCCAGGUUUUUCUUUCAAGAAACACAUCCGAGUUGAAACGACUGAUGCGGGCCACACCUGAAAGCGAAGGAACUGAGCAACUGCUGCCACCACAGGAAAUCUCGACGAUCAUGAAAUUUAAAAUCUUGUUUAUUUAUCUUGUAUUCUGAACAUAUAUAACAUGGAUAUUUUCUCUACAAAAAACUCCAAAUAGUGAACUGCCAAGUAAUACUGCUGAAAACUGCAAAAUGUGGUGCUGAAUGAUCUGAUGAACAGGCCUCGAUCUAUAAGAGUGGAGUUCAGUGAAACGAAGUAUUGGAUUUUAACAAGGAAUGAAUCUAUAACAGUUUUUCUUGUGAAAAAAUGAAAUUUUAUAAGUUAUCAGCAGAGUCAUAGUUACUGUUUUCAGCGCCCAGGGAAAACUGAAGAUUUUGUGCCCCUCCCGACUACUGGCCAAAAAUGGAAAACAUUCAACUCUAAAAAUUCGUAACAUCAUUUUGGCUUCCCUUGGAUGAUGUGCCCACGGACAUAUGCCCCCUUUCUAGCCCUGGUUAUCAUAUACACAGUUUCUUGUGAACUUGUUGACUGUGAGAACCUGGAUACAUAUUUUCUUGCAAAACUGUGAGAAACUAGAUAAAAAUUUUCUUGUGAAAAGAUGAAACUGUGAGAACCUGGAUAAAAAUAUUCUUGUGAAAAGGUGAAACUGUGAGAACCUGGAUAAAAAUUUUCUUGUGAAAAAGUGAAAUUUUUAUAUAAAUAUAAAUAACAUAAUUUAAGAAGACAAAGAUUGUACAAGCAAUGUCAUCUAGGGGUAAGUACCUUCAUUUUGCAAUAUAUGUUUACAUUGAUAAAUUAAAAAAUAUGAAAUUCUAGCAUAUUGAAACAUAAGUUAAGAAAUAUUUGUUUAAAUUUAUUAAUUAAAAAAGGUGAAAUUCUUACAUAUUGAAACAAAAGUUAAGAAAUAUAUGUUUAAAUUGAUUAAUUAAAAGAGUUGAAAUUCUUGCAUAUUGAAAAAUAAGUUAAGAAAUGUAUGUUUAAAUUGAUUAAUUAAAAAAAAGUUGAAAUUCUAACACAGGGAAAAAUAGAAAAUAUAUGUUCAAAUUGAUUAAUUAAUAAAAAAAAAUGAGUGCUAUAUACUGAAAAAUAAGUUUCUUAAAAAGAACUUAGCAUAUAUUACAAAUACCUUAAUAAAUGUUCUAAUUUUUCAUUUCUCAUCCAUAUAUAUCAUGUUUAACUAUCAUACACUUACCUGCAUAACAUAAUUAAUUUAAAUAUAAAUUCAUUAUUAAUUUAAAUGCCAAAUAAUAUAAUGCCGAAAUUACAUGCAAGUCAAAUUUUUAGGUUGGAAGCUUUCUUUUAAAUCGAUUGUUUACAGUUUGAGCGUAAGUACUUCUUCGCCCUAUAGCGUUUCAUGCAAAACAUUUCACUCGUUAAAGUACACGUUAAUUAAAAUUUCUUGUUCUAUUACUUUAGACUGAAUUACAAUUAGUAAGUUAUCAUAUCAUGCUUAGUAAUAUAACAUUAACUAUGUUGUACAACAUUGAAGAAAUAGGGAAUGUCAGGCGUCAUCAUGUCAACAUGAACAAGGGUAAGUUCAAUUUUUCCUUUUGGCAGUUCAGAAUUGUUUUCCCUGUCCACUUCCCUC